CGCCGUAGGCUGUGGAUCCAGCGGAGGGCUUCGCGGAGUCGGGAGCAGAACCUCGCUCGCACACCUGCGUUUGGGCCGCCGUCGGAGGGCCGUGCUCUAACUCCCUCCUGCCUCGCUCAGGAUGAUCGAACUGCAUCGCACGGUGGAGUAGACCCGCUGGCGUGGCUGGCUUCUAUUCUUCGCCGUCGGGGCUUCUACCUAGCCGCUUGGCAUGUCGGUCAGCACUCCCUCCCCCUCCCUACAGUCGUCCAGCUCCACCCAUCUGAGCUUCCUCCAGGUAGCACUCACCUGCACCGUGCUUCCCACACUGUCGUGCAUCAACAAGGAGGCAAGGUGCUUCUCCUUCUCACCUCGGCCAGUGGCUUCUCCUCCUGAAGCUAACACUUUCAAAAAGACUACAAUAUCUGCUCUCAUUCAGAGGUGGAAGUGUGCAGAGACGCACCGUCCAAGUCCCAAUUGCCCUGACGGUGACCCAACACCAUCACAGUCCAGCCCCGUAGCGUCAGGGAGGUCGAGGCCAUCGCGAACAGAAGUCCACAACAGAAGGUGACGGUCAGCGUAGCACUUCUUCCAUCCCAUCCCAUCCAUGUUUCAGAUAUUUCUGAUUUUGGGUAGCAACAAUGCAUAAUGUAUGGAAGCCAGUCAGGCCCGCAUGCACUGCAGCUGCUCACUUCCUCAUCGCCCGCUGUCGGCGACAACACUCCCUUCCUCCAGCGCGUCACCGGCGCGGCCAACCACCUACACCGGCUUCGGCUGCAACCAUGGCGCCUCUUUUUGUCAACCUCUAGCAUGUUUUUUGUUUCUUGAUAACAGCCUAUUGCUUAUGCUUAUGAUUUGUUUGUUCUACGGAUAUGAAGGUUAUGCCACCGAUAGCUCAAAUCCUCUCUCCAUCAACUCAUGUAAAUUGUCGCAUUUGACACCUGAGAAUUACUCUCCCCAGGAUAUGAAGAACCCAGCCGGUGCUUCUUAGUUGAGGCAUGUCAGAAGCUCCCCUCCUAUCGUGUAGUGGUACAAAACUGUGUGUGGACGCUUUGUUGUGUCAGCUGAAGAAGUUCAAUGCAGGGAAACAGGAACUACGCCAUGUACAAGGGCUAUGUGCCGGCAUCGGUGAAGUUCUACUAAGCUACACGCCGGAUUUACUGGUCAUUGGUGAAAAAAUCAGUUAUUAAACAAACACUUUUUUCAUAUGAUGUCAGCCAAAAGAAAUUGUGGAUGUGCUGUCCACGUGUGCGCGCGAUACACUGAAUUGAAAAAAACUAGUUUUGUCAUGUUUAUUUUCCAUAUUAGUUUUAUAGUGUUUGUUUUUUGUGUUCAUGGAGUAAAUUAGGAAGUUCAAAUUUUAUGUUCAUGGAUCCAAAUAUUAAACAUUGCAAAAAGAUGUUGCCAUCAGU
rnacentral:rRNA from 1 species